UGUUCAAUGCGGGAAUCGAACCCGGGUCCUAGUGGUCGAAAACCAAACGGUUUAACCACUCUUCCACUACAGAGACUAAAU
rnacentral:tRNA from 1 species